rnacentral:rRNA from 1 species
AAUAGAUACCCCCGGUAGUCCACGCCGUAAACGGUGGGUACUAGGUGUGGGUUUCCUUCCUUGGGAUCCGUGCCGUAGCUAACGCAUUAAGUACCCCGCCUGGGGAGUACGGCCGCAAGGCUAAAACUCAAAAGGAAUUGACGGGGGGCCCGCACAAGCGGCGGAGCAUGUGGAUUAAUUCGAUGCAACGCGAAGAACCUUACCUGGGUUUGACAUGCACAGGACGCCGGCAGAGAUGUCGGUUCCCUUGUGGCCUGUGUGCAGGUGGUGCAUGGCUGUCGUCAGCUCGUGUCGUGAGAUGUUGGGUUAAGUCCCGCAACGAGCGCAACCCUUGUUCCAUGUUGCCAGCGCGUAAUGGCGGGGACUCAUGGGAGACUGCCGGGGUCAACUCGGAGGAAGGUGGGGAUGACGUCAAGUCAUCAUGCCCCUUAUGUCCAGGGCUUCACACAUGCUACAAUGGCCGGUACAAAGGGCUGCGAUGCCGUGAGGUUAAGCGAAUCCUUUUAAAGCCGGUCUCAGUUCGGAUCGGGGUCUGCAACUCGACCCCGUG